rnacentral:rRNA from 1 species
UACGAAGGGGGCUAGCGUUGCUCGGAAUUACUGGGCGUAAAGGGCGCGUAGGCGGACACUUAAGUCGGGGGUGAAAGCCCAGGGCUCAACCCUGGAAUAGCCUUCGAUACUGGGUAUCUUGAGUUCGGGAGAGGUGAGUGGAACUCCGAGUGUAGAGGUGAAAUUCGUAGAUAUUCGGAAGAAACACCAGUGGCGAAGGCGACUCACUGGCCCGAUACUGACGCUGAGGCGCGAAAGCGUGGGGAGCAAACAGG